rnacentral:misc_RNA from 1 species
UCCUGGUUAACCCAGGCAGUCUCAUUAGAGUUCCCAUCCGAAAUGUUGGCAACUAAUGAUAAGGGUUGCGCUCGUUGCUGGACUUAACCAAACACCUCACGGCACGAGCUGACGACAGCCAUGCAGCACCUGUGCAGCGGCCCCGAAGGGCUAUAACAUUUCUGCUAUAUUCCACUGCAUGUCAAAUCUGGGUAAGGUUCUUCGCGUUGCAUCGAAUUAAACCACAUGCUCCACUGCUUGUGCGGGUCCCCGUCAAUUCUUUUGAGUUUCACCCUUGCGAGCGUACUCCCCAGGCGGUAUACUUAUCGCGUUAGCUUCGGCACAACUAGGGUUGAGUCCAGUUACACCAAGUAUACAUAGUUUACGGCAAGGACUAC